rnacentral:lncRNA from 1 species
AGACGAUAAAAUUAAUAAAGAGAUUAAUUAAGAUAUAUGGUGUGUUUAUAAUGGGUGCAUGCAGGUGCAGGGUAGGGUAGAGAUGAUAUAUAUACCGUACGUACCGCUUGCUGAAGUGCUGUGAGGUAAAUGGUGAAGGAGCAUUCAUCUUUCCCAGGACAAAGUGCUGACAUGGUAACAUCAGUAAUGGCCGGAAUCACCAUGAAUGUAGAGAAACUAUACAAGAACACCGUCAUGAAGAGGUGGCUCAGCUUCCACAAGUACUUUUCCAUCUUAAUUAGUUUUUUUAAUUAUAAAAAUCUCUAUAUCUCGAUCUGCAAGGGAAGGAAUAGGAUGAUAUAUGAGUGAAGAAUUGCUAAUCAUGUAUACUACUUAUCAUAAAGAAGCACAGCACUGCUCAGCACAACAACAUUGAUUUAAAGCACAGGAACUAUUUUGUCCCCAUUCAUGAUCAUCUGUUUUGGAGAAUUGGACAAUUAAUACCCUUAAAAAUGAAAAUAAAAUAUAUACUUGGUUGUAACAUUUUAAGAUGUAUUAAAAUUAUAUUUGAAUAUUAUUUUCU